rnacentral:tRNA from 1 species
GCCGGCGUAGCUCAGUUGGCAGAGCGGCUCACUCGUAAUGAGCAGGUCCGGGGUUCGAUUCCCUGCGUCGGCU